rnacentral:rRNA from 1 species
AGAGCGAACGCUGGCGGCAGGCCUAAUACAUGCAAGUCGAGCGGCCACUUCGGUGGCAGCGGCGGACGGGUGAGUAACGCGUGGGAAUGUGCCCUUUGGUACGGAACAACUGAGGGAAACUUCAGCUAAUACCGUAUGUGCCCUUCGGGGGAAAGAUUUAUUGCCAUUGGAGCAGCCCGCGUUGGAUUAGCUAGUUGGUGGGGUAAAGGCCCACAAGGCGACGAUCCAUAGCUGGUCUGAGAGGAUGAUCAGCCACACUGGGACUGAGACACGGCCCAGACUCCUACGGGAGGCAGCAGUAGGGAAUCUGCGCAAUGGGCGAAAGCCUGACGCAGCCAUGCCGCGUGAAUGAUGAAGGCCUUAGGAUUGUAAAAUUCUUUACACCGGGGAAGAGUAAUGACGGUACCGGAGAAGAACGCCCGCUAACUUCGCGCCAGCAGCCGC